UACGUAGGGGGCUAGCGUUGUCCGGAAUCAUUGGGCGUAAAGCGCGUGUAGGCGGCCCGGUAAGUCCGCUGUGAAAGUCGGGGGCUCAACCCUCGGAUGCCGGUGGAUACUGUCGGGCUCGAGUACGGAAGAGGCGAGUGGAAUUCCUGGUGUAGCGGUGAAAUGCGCAGAUAUCAGGAGGAACACCUAUUGCGAAGGCAGCUCGCUGGGACGUAACUGACGCUGAGACGCGAAAGCGUGGGGAGCAAACAGG
rnacentral:rRNA from 1 species